GAUGAACGCUGGCGGCGUGCCUAAUACAUGCAAGUCGAGCGAACAGACGAGGAGCUUGCUCCUCUGACGUUAGCGGCGGACGGGUGAGUAACACGUGGAUAACCUACCUAUAAGACUGGGAUAACUUCGGGAAACCGGAGCUAAUACCGGAUAAUAUAUUGAACCGCAUGGUUCAAUAGUGAAAGACGGUUUUGCUGUCACUUAUAGAUGGAUCCGCGCCGCAUUAGCUAGUUGGUAAGGUAACGGCUUACCAAGGCAACGAUGCGUAGCCGACCUU
rnacentral:rRNA from 1 species